GACGAACGCUGGCGGCGUGCCUAAUACAUGCAAGUCGAACGCAGUGGGGACGGGUGAGUAACACGUGGGUAACCUCCCAUCAGAGGGGAUAACAACUGGAAACAGGUGCUAAACCGCUACUGAUGGAUGGACCCGCGGUGGAUUAGCUAGUUGGUGAGGUAACGGCUAACCAAGGCCACGAUGCAUUGCCUGUCUGAGAGGGGGUUUGGCCACACUGGGACUGAGAAACGUCCCAGACUCCUACGGGAGGCAGCAGUAGGGAAUCUUCGGCAAUGGACGAAAGUCUGACCGAGCAACGCCGCGUGAGUGAAGAAGGUUUGCGGAUCGUAAAACUCUGUUGUUAGAGAAGCGGUAUCUAACCAGAAAGCCACGGCUAACUACGUGCCAGCAGCCGCGGUAAUAC
rnacentral:rRNA from 1 species